UACGUAGGGAGCAAGCGUUGUCCGGAAUCAUUGGGCGUAAAGCGCGCGUAGGUGGCCUCAUAAGUCCGCUGUGAAAGUCAAAGGCUCAACCUUUGAAAGCCGGUGGAUACUGUGAGGCUAGAGUACGGAAGAGGCGAGUGGAAUUCCGGGUGUAGCGGUGGAAUGCGUAGAGAUCCGGAAGAACACCGGUGGCGAAGGCGGCCUGCUGGGCAGUUGCUGACACUGAGGCGCGACAGCGUGGGGAGCAAACAGG
rnacentral:rRNA from 1 species